GAUCCUGGCUUAGGAUGAACGCUAGCUACAGGCUUAACACAUGCAAGUCGAGGGGCAUCGGGAUCUGUGCUUGCACAGAUUGCCGGCGACCGGCGCACGGGUGAGUAACGCGUAUCCAACCUUCCCUUAGUAGGGCAUAGCCCGUAGAAAUGCGGAUUAAUACCCUAUGUUAUUCGUCGAGGACAUCUGAAGUGAAUCAAAGGUUUACCGCUAAGGGAUGGGGAUGCGUCUGAUUAGGCAGCAGCGGGGUAACGGCCCACCUGGCCUACGAUCAGUAGGGGUUCUGAGAGGAAGGUCCCCCACAUUGGAACUGAGACACGGUCCAAACUCCUACGGGAGGCAGCAGUGAGGAAUAUUGGUCAAUGGGCGAGAGCCUGAACCAGCCAAGUAGCGUGCAGGACGACGGCCCUAUGGGUUGUAAACUGCUUUUAUGCGGGAUUAAAGUUCACUACGUGUAGUGUUUUGUAGGUACCGCAUGAAUAAGGACCGGCUAAUUCCGUGCCAGCCGCUGC
rnacentral:rRNA from 1 species